AACGAACGCUGGCGGCAUGCUUAACACAUGCAAGUCGAACGGAUUUAUGGAGCUUGCUUCAUAAGUUAGUGGCAGACGGGUGAGUAACGCGUGGGAAUGUACCUUUUGGUUCGGAAUAACUGCGGGAAACUGUGGCUAAUACCGGAUAAGCCCGUGAGGGGAAAGAUUUAUCGCCAAAAGAGAAGCCCGCGUUAGAUUAGGUAGUUGGUGGGGUAAUGGACGACCAAGCCUGCGAUCUAUAGCUGGUCUGAGAGGAUGAUCAGCCACACUGGGACUGAGACACGGACCAGACUCCUACGGGAGGCAGCAGUGGGGAAUAUUGGACAAUGGGGGAAACCCAGAUCCAGCAAUGCCGCGUGAGUGAUGAAGGCCUUCGGGUUGUAAAGCUCUUUUGUCAGGGACGAUGAUGACGGUACCUGACGAAUAAGCUCCGGCUAACUUCGUGCCAGCAGCCGCGGUAA
rnacentral:rRNA from 1 species